GGAAUAUAAGUGAAUCAUGGGGUGGUUUUCCUCAUACUGUUCUCAUGGCAGUGAAAAAGUCUCACAAGAUCUGAUGGUUUAAUAAGGGGUUUCCUUUUUCACUUGGCUUUCAUUCUCCUUAUCUACCACCAUGUAAGACAUGCCUUUCGCCUUCCACCGUGAUUAUGAGGCCUCCCCAGCCACGUGGAACUCAUACACUUAAUAAUUCAUUACCUAUUAAGCUUCUUCUCAGCUGAGGUCAUGCAAAAAUGACUCACUUGCAUAUGAUACUUUCCUUGAGGAAUUAAACCAUAAACUCCCUCCUUGCAUUGUGUAUUGAGGGAGAAGAUUCCUAGAAGCAACAUUCAUCGUCUCUCUUUUCAAUGAUGGACAACUCUCUGCUGUGCCAAAUAUACUAACUUUAACCACCCACUGCCAAACUCACACCUCCUUGUUCAACAAGCCAGUUACGGGCAGUGAAUGAAUCUACGAUGCUGAACAGCCCCGUGGGCAUCUUCUCACUGGGCACUGGCUAGAAUGCAGUUGGAUUAGACUUUCACAAUUGCUUUGUUUUCAAGCCAGGAAGGAGAAAUUGAAGGCAAUUCACCACCUUUCUAUAUCCAAGAUGAAAACACAGCACUCUCCUAAACUUCAGAAGUAUAACUCAGUGGGUUAGUACUUCAGAUCUAGCCUGAGGCAAAAUUAUGAUUUUUCCAAAAGAUUUUCUUUUUUUAGCAUUCUUUUCCUUACACGCAGGCCUUUGAUCAAGCUACAGUUUUGAACUGAUUACAGCUUUUGAAGCCUCAGAAGAUUUAAAGACCCACAUUGUUAACAAUGGUGUUUUAGGUGUGUGGCGUAUUAGAGGAGUCGGCUAAUUCUAAGUCCUCAAGUGCUCAGAAAACAACAUUAAAAAGUCUGACAUUUGAAAAGUAUGGAAUUAAACAUCAUGGAACUGGCUUUAAGAAGGUAUCCAUUCGUGGCAUGAAAAUGUGAAGAACUUUCUUUCUUUGCAAUGUGAGUUCAAGGAAACGCCCAAGAGUGGAUGUUCCAUCGUAAAUGCUCUGCCCCCAGCUUUUCAAAGGACACAGAAAUUGCACCCAGCAAAGAUGUCCUGUCAAAAUGAUUUAAAAGAAGAAAAAGAAAGUUGCUAGAGGGGAACUGGUACUCCAGAUCAAAAAACAAUUUUAAGUGGUCUAUUUUGGUGGUCUGUGUUGAGACAUAUAACAGCCCAGGCUGCUGUUUUUCCAAGAGGUUAAAUUUCAAAAAGAGGAAACAACAGCAAACAGGCUGCCAAUUUACUCAACAAUGUCACAACUGGCUGGAGCUCUGUUCAAAGCAAAACCGCUGAUUUACAAAUUCCUGGAUUUACUCUUAAAUAUUAACACUUCUUAGGAAACUUUAGACCUUACAUGUCACAUUUAUGACUCCUAGGCAGACACAACCCUCUCCAAACACAUGGUCCUCAUGACAACUCUUUGCCAUGUAUUUCAGCCCCACUAAGGGAAGCCACUGUCAACUCAACCUGUGAUGCCAAGAAGCAGCCCAGGUACCAAGGGACAUAGACUGGAGUCAACAUUAGAUGCGUUUCUGUAUGGUGUAGCUUGGAGGAGGAUGUUUACAGCACAAUUCCGCAAUAAUAUGCUGUAGCAGACAGAAGUUUCCCUUCUAUCAGACAAAGAACUAGUCAGGGAAGGCAAGCUGGCUAGACCACGGUUCAGUUUUUCUCAUCUCCUUUCUGCAAGUGGAAAAUCUGCUGGCUGGCAGUGGAAAUAAUAGGGAAACCACCUCAGAAUGUUGGAGAAGAGGAUGGGGGAGGAGUUGCAGCUCAGGAAUCCUUCAAAGAAGACAUGUGGGGAGAGGAAGACAGCACACAGAAGCAGGGAGAAGUUAAGAGUAUGAACCUUACCAACAGGUAAAAAUGUGUCAUAUUAAUUUUUUCAACAUCAACAAACACGUCAAAAGAUGGAGCACUGAAAGCUGCAUUUUAAACAAAUGCCCCAGUCCCACUGAGAAGUGACAGCAUGCUGGCAGCCCUCGCAGCCCUCGCUCGCUCUUGGCACCUGCCCUUGGCACCUCCUCGGCCUCAGCGCCCACUCUGGCCGCGCUUGAGGAGCCCUUCAGCCUGCCGCUGUACUGUGGGAGCCCCUUCUUGGGAUGGCCGAGGCUGGAGCCGGCUCCCUCAGCCUGCGGGGAGGUGCGGAGGGAGAGGCAUAGGCGGGAACCGGGGCUGCCCGCGGCACUUGCGGGCCAGCUAGAAUUCUGGGUGGGCUUGGUGGGCCCGGCACUUGGAGUGGCCAGCCGGCCCCGAGCAGUGAGGGCUUAGCACUUGGGCCAGCAGCUGCGGUGGGUGCGCCGGGUCCCCCAGCGGUCUCGGCCCACUGUCGCUGCGCUAGAUUUCUCGCCGGGCCUUAGCUGCCACCCCGCAGGGCAGGGCUCGGGACCCAAAGCCCGCCAUGCCUGAGUCCCGCCCCUCCCCGCCCCCCC
rnacentral:lncRNA from 1 species